rnacentral:RNase_P_RNA from 1 species
CCCACGACCAGUGCAACAGAGAGCAAACCGCCGAUGGCCCACGCAAGUGGGAUCAGGUAAGGGUGAAAGGGUGCGGUAAGAGCGCACCGCGCGGCUGGUAACAGUCCGUGGCACGGUAAACUCCACCCGGAGCAAGGCCAAAUAGGGGUUCAUAAGGUACGGCCCGUACUGAACCCGGGUAGGCUGCUUGAGCCAGUGAGCGAUUGCUGGCCUAGAUGAAUGACUGUCCACGACAGAACCCGGCUUAUCGGUCAGUUUCACCU